rnacentral:rRNA from 1 species
CCUACGGGUGGCAGCAGUGAGGAAUAUUGGUCAAUGGACGCGAGCCUGAACCAGCCAAGUCGCGUGAAGGAUGACUGCCCUACGGGUUGUAAACUUCUUUUGUAAGAGAGUAAAGUGAGGCACGUGUGCCUUUCUGUAAGUACUUUAUGAAUAAGGAUCGGCUAACUCCGUGCCAGCAGCCGCGGUAAUACGGAGGAUCCGAGCGUUAUCCGGAUUUAUUGGGUUUAAAGGGAGCGUAGGUGGGCUGUUAAGUUAGUGGUGAAAGUUUGGGGCUCAACCGUAAAAUUGCAAUUGAUACUGGCCGCCUUGAGUGCAGUUGAGGUAGGCGGAAUGCGUGGUGUAGCGGUGAAAUGCUUAGAUAUCACGCAGAACUCCGAUUGCGAAGGCAGCCUACCAAACUGCCACUGACAUUGAUGCACGAAAGUGUGGGUAUCAAACAGGAUUAGAUACCCGGGUAGUC